rnacentral:rRNA from 1 species
GAUGAACGCUGGCGGCGUGCCUAAUACAUGCAAGUAGAACGCUGAAGCUUGGUGCUUGCACCGAGCGGAUGAGUUGCGAACGGGUGAGUAACGCGUAGGUAACCUGCCUCUUAGCGGGGGAUAACUAUUGGAAACGAUAGCUAAUACCGCAUAAAAGUCGACAUCGCAUGAUGUUGACUUGAAAGGUGCAAUUGCAUCACUAAGAGAUGGACCUGCGUUGUAUUAGCUAGUUGGUGAGGUAACGGCCCACCAAGGCGACGAUACAUAGCCGACCUGAGAGGGUGAUCGGCCACAAUGGGACUGAGACACGGCCCAGACUCCUACGGGAGGCAGCAGUAGGGGAUCUUCGGCAAUGGGGGCAACCCUGGCCGAGCAACGCCGCGUGGGUGAAGAAGGUUUUCGGAUCGUAAAGCUCUGUUGUAAGAGAAGAACGAGUGUGAGAGUGGAAAGUUCACACUGUGACGGUAACUUACCAGAAAGGGACGGCUAACUACGUG